rnacentral:rRNA from 1 species
CCCUUAGAUGUUCUGGGCCGCACGCGCGCUACACUGAUACAUGCAACGAGUUUAUAACCUUGAUCUGACGGUCUGGGUAAUCUUCAAACUGUAUCGUGUUAGGGAUCGAUUCUUGCAUUUUUUAAUCGUAAACGAGGAAUUCCUAGUAAACGCAAGUCAUCAGCUUGCAUUGAUUACGUCCCUGCCCUUUGUACACACCGCCCGUCGCACCUACCGAUUGGAUGGUCCGGUGAAGCCUCGGGAUUGUGGUUCUUGCCGCUUUAUUGUGGCGUGACCGCGAGAACUUGUCUAAACCUUAUCAUCUAGAGGAAGGUGAAGUCGUANCA